AGAGAAUGAGGGAAAAAUCGCAAAUUUUCUUUCGGAAAAAUAAGUUUUUCUGGAAACCCUUCCACUUUUCCCACGACAGUUCCUUCCUCUAUUUCUUCCCAUUCUUCUUCUUCUCUUUUCUUUCUUUCCCUCUCCUUCUCUUCAUCCUUCUCUCUCUUUUUUCCGAUGAGGGUGGAGAGAGGGGCAG
rnacentral:ribozyme from 13 species